UUUAAGUUGUGGUCCAUACCAAAGUAUGAGUGCGUUACGCUCCUCUUGGGCCUGUAAUUGGGCCCGAUUUUUAAUUUAAUUAAUCAAGUUUUCUAAGAAAUCGGUUUUAGGUAAUUUAAAAUCGAUUAAGCAGCUUAACUUUUUAAUAUAGAGGACACGUAGCGCUCUUUCCAGUGCUGAUGUGUCACUCAACUGGAGAGAGUUAGCCAACUUUUAUAUAUAAGAUAUAGUAUCCCUUUUUUUUCCUAUUUUUAAUACAUGUAUGUAAACUCAGUACUCUAUAUUUAUGGAAUGACGAUAGUGUUGUCACUUGAACUUGAACAUUUAGAUGUAGUUAUUCAGCUUAGUCUGUGUAUAUUUAUAUGUUGUAUUUGUAAAAUUCAAGAGUCCCAAAAAAAAGGAGGAAUUUAUGCUUAUUGAUUUUCUGUUUUCUCAUACAUAACAUGAUAGCAAGGAAUAGAUAAAUACUAGAGGGAAGAAGAAGAAGUUUCCUAAACUGGGUAUUUCCACAAUUUUUUUUUACACUGAUGUAUUAAUCUACAUUUAAACAGAAUAUUAUUGUAAAUUAGUAUUUGUUUGGACAAAUUUUAACCGGUUUGUACGUGAGUAAUUCUACGGAAUAACAAAAAAGAGUAAAGUUUUAAUAAUCAACAAAUAUCAAGCUACAAUGAAUCAAUAUCGCAAAUCUAAAUAAUCUGGUAUCAUCUGUCAUUCGCUAUGAAGAGGUCUGGUCGCUCGAUUCUCUGUUGCUAUUGUACCUAGUUAUUAAAGUAGAGCUUUUAGGGUUUUUAGUGGUACGUGUUUGUAUGUCCGUCUUUGCUCCAAGA
rnacentral:lncRNA from 1 species